rnacentral:misc_RNA from 1 species
AAGGAGUAUCAUCGAAAGAUGAGAAACUAGGUCGAUCGUUCAGGUUUUAUACGCAACUGUUUAGUUUUGGGGGACCAGUUUUGUGGUUCUUCUGGGGUAAAUUAAAUAUGGGUAAGAGGGGCUUAUAGCUCAGUUGGUUAGAGCGCGCGCCUGAUAAGCGCGAGGUCGGUGGUUCAAGUCCACCUAGGCCCACCAUUACACAAUUAAUAAUCCCCAAAGCAGAGGAUAGACCGAAAAUAGGAAUCGGCAACGCCGGUUCCUUAAAAUUAGUUACCGUUUAAAGAUUAAGAUGGGGGUGUAGCUCAGCUGGGAGAGCACCUGCCUUGCAAGCAGGGGGUCAGGAGUUCGAAUCUCCUCAUCUCCACCAUUUGAACCUUGAAAACUACACAGCGAAUCAAAUAGUAUGUUCUGUCAAGCGAAUGCCG